ACAGAUGAUCAGUUGUUUAUUUUUCGUUUACUCUGGUUUAACCUCACUUAACUAGAUAGAUCGAGAAAUUUUAAAUUACUAUUAAUGCCUUCCUGUAAGGUAAAAGGUUGCGAAGUCGAUUGGGGAAAAAUAAUGUGAAAAUGAAUUCUUUCCCAAAAGAAUCUGAACGACGGAAAGUGUGGAUUAAAAAUAUAGGGUUAAAACAAGAUCCAAACAAAUAUGCUGUUGUUUGUGAAAAAAACUGUAAAUAGUAUUUAAGGCAACGAUUGUGAAUGAGUGAGAAGUCUAAUAAAGCCACGACGAGAUACUGUAUUAGAGCGUACGAUUUGGAGGUAUUUUUGAUUAGAUAAAUUUUGUAAAGUACAAUAUAAGUUAGAUUUGAUAAUGUGUAGUAUUUCCUAAUAAAUUAAAUACUAUUAAGUGUUUAUUGUUCUUGUAAGUUAGUGUGGUAAAUAAAUAAUAUGAAGUAAG